rnacentral:rRNA from 1 species
AUUGAACGCUGGCGGAAUGCUUUACACAUGCAAGUCGAACGGCAGCACGGACUUCGGUCUGGUGGCGAGUGGCGAACGGGUGAGUAAUGUAUCGGAACGUGCCCAGUCGUGGGGGAUAACGUAGUGAAAAUUACGCUAAUACCGCAUACGAUCGAGGGAUGAAAGCGGGGGAUCGCAAGACCUAGCGCGAUUGGAGCGGUCGAUAUCUUAUUAGGUAGUUGGGGGGGUAAAGGCCCACCAAGCCAACGAUCUGGAGCUAGUCUGAGAGGACGACCAGCCACACUGGAACUGAGACACGGUCCAGACUCCUACGGGAGGCAGCAGUGGGGAAUUUUGGACAAUGGGCGAAAGCCUGAUCCAGCCAUUCCGCGUGCAGGAUGAAGGCCCUCGGGUUGUAAACUGCUUUUGUACAGAACGAAAAGGUUUCUACUAAUACUAGGAGCUCAUGACGGUACUGUAAGAAUAAGCACCGGCUAACUACGUGCCAGCCGCCGCUGUAA